UACGUAGGGGGCAAGCGUUGUCCGGAUUUAUUGGGCGUAAAGAGCGUGUAGGCGGUCUGGUAGGUCCGUUGUGAAAACUCGAGGCUCAACCUCGAGACGCCGAUGGAAACCAUCAGACUAGAGUCCGGAAGAGGAGAGUGGAAUUCCUGGUGUAGCGGUGAAAUGCGCAGAUAUCAGGAAGAACACCCGUGGCUAAGGCGGCUCUCUAGUACGGUACUGACGCUGAGAAGCGAAAGCAUGGGGAGCGAACAGG
rnacentral:rRNA from 1 species